CGCUGGCGGCGUGCUUAACACAUGCAAGUCGAACGAUGAAACCUAGCUUGCUAGGUGGAUUAGUGGCGCACGGGUGAGUAAUAUAUAGAUAAUCUGCCUCUUAGUCUGGGAUAGCCAUUGGAAACGAUGAUUAAUACUAGAUACUCCUUCUCUUUAUAAUAAGAGUUGGGAAAGGAACAUCUUUAUGGUGUUUCGCUAAGAGAUGAGUCUAUAUCCCAUCAGGUAGUUGGUAGUGUAAGAGACUACCAAGCCUAUGACGGGUAGCGGGUUUGAGAGGAUGAUCCGCCACACUGGUACUGAGACACGGACCAGACUCCUACGGGAGGCAGCAGUGAGGAAUAUUGCACAAUGGAGGAAACUCUGAUGCAGCAACGCCGCGUGGAGGAUGACGCAUUUCGGUGUGUAAACUCCUUUUAUAUGUCAAGAAAAUGACGGUAGCAUAUGAAUAAGCACCGGCUAACUCCGUGCCAGCAGCCGCGGUAAUACGGAGGGUGCAAGCGUUAUUCGGAAUCACUGGGCGUAAAGGACACGUAGGCGGGAAGCCAAGUCUGAUGUGAAAUCCUACAGCUUAACUGUAGAACUGCAUUGGAAACUGGUUACCUAGAGUAUGGGAGGGGGAGAUGGAAUUAGGUGGGUGUAGGGGGUAAAAUCCGUAGAUAUCACUAGGAAUACCUAAAGCGAAGGCGAUCUCCUGGAACAUUACUGACGCUAAKGUGUGAAAGCGUGGGGAGCAAACGGGAUUAGAUACCCCGGUAGUCCACGCCCUAAACGAUGUUCACUAGUCGUCGGGAUGCUAGUCAUCUCGGUGAUGCACUUAACAGAUUAAGUGAACCGCCUGGGGAGUACGGUC
rnacentral:rRNA from 1 species